ACCGGCGUCGGUUAACCCGGUAUACCGCAAAGUUAAGACCUUUGUAUCCCUCGGGAUGUCUGGGUUCAAAUCCCAGCGCCGGCG
rnacentral:tRNA from 1 species